AAGCCCCGGCUAACUCCGUGCCAGCAGCCGCGGUAAAACGGAGGGGGCGAGCGUUGCCCGGAUUUACUGGGCUUAAAGGGUCCGUAGGCGGUGUCCUAAGUCCCCCGUGAAAGCUGCCCGCUCAACGGGCAGAGGUCGGGGGAGACUGGGACACUUGAGGGCGGGAGAGGCCGGCGGAACGGCGGGUGUAGCGGUGAAAUGCGUCGAUAUCCGCCGGAACACCAGUGGCGAAGGCGGCCGGCUGGAACGCCCCUGACGCUGAGGGACGAAGGCCGGGGGAGCGAACCGGAUUAGAUACCCGGGUAGUCCCGGCAGUAAACGGUGGGCGCUAGGUGUGGGGAGUCUCGACCCUCCCCGUGCCGCAGGGAAACCAAUAAGCGCCCCGCCUGGGGAGUACGGGCGCAAGCCUGAAACUCAAACCAAUUGACGGGGGCCCGCACAAGCGGCGGAGCAUGUGGCUUAAUUCGAUGCUACCCGAAGAACCUUACCAGGGCUUGACAUGCUGGCUUAAGCCCGCCCGAAAGGGUAGGGUGGGGCGGUUUCCACCGCCCAGCCAGCACAGGUGGUGCACGGCUGUCGUCAGCUCGUGCCGUGAGGUGUCCGGUUAAGUCCGGCAACGAGCGCAACCCCCGCCGCCAGUUGCCAGCGGGUAAUGCCGGGCACUCUGGCGGGACUGCCCGCGUAAGCGGGAGGAAGGUGGGGAUGACGUCAAGUCCGCGUGCCCCUGAAGUCCUGGGCUGCACACAUGCUACAAUGCCCGCUACAAAGGGUUGCGAACCCGCGAGGGGGAGCGAAUCCCAAAAAAGCGGGCUCAGUUCGGAUCGCAGGCUGCAACUCGCCUGCGUGAAGCCGGAGUCGCUAGUAACCGCCGGUCAGCAAUACGGCGGUGAAUACGUUCCCGGGCCUUGUACACACCGCCCGUCACGCCACGGAAGCCGGCUGCACCUGAAGCCGGUGGGCUAACCGGCUGCCCCUUUGAACGCAUCGGCUUAAUCGGUCGGUGCGUUGAAAGGGGCAGCCGGAGGCAGCCGUCGAGGGUGUGGUCGGUGACUGGGGCGAAGUCGUAACAAGGUAGCCGUAGCGGAAGCUGCGGCUG
rnacentral:rRNA from 1 species